CUACCACUGAGGAGUCCCACAAUAGGACGAAAUGGCCGUCCAGUGU
rnacentral:hammerhead_ribozyme from 1 species